rnacentral:lncRNA from 1 species
UCAAUUCAACCAAGUGCGUUGAUUCAAUUACAUACAUUAAUACCAUUACAUUCAUCGUCAAUUUUCCAAACACAAAUUCAUUCAAUUUCCAAAAAACCUUUACAACCAUUUCAUACAAAUUCAUUCAAUAUCACAAUACGUUUUACAUAACCAUGAAUGCCAUACAAAUUGCAACAUACAUUUUUACAUAAACCCUACAUUACAACCAAUUUACAACAUGAUUAAAACUCGUCCAUAUUCCAAGCAAAUCCCAAAUCCAUUCUUUCAUAGCUAAUCCAAUUCCAAGUGAAUCCAAAUCCCACAAGCAACCCAAGUCAGCUCCAUUUCACUGGCCCAUAUCUUCAAAAGCAUGAUUCUAAGCCAAAGACUUCAAAUCCAUUAAAGCAGCUCUACAUUACAUUUCAGCAGCCAAUGAGAAAAACUUCAAGCAUACCUGUAAAAAUGCUAGAAACUCAGCCUAACAGCAUAACCUUCAUUUUCACUUUUGACUGCAACUUCUAACCUCUAUAUUAACAAACUAACUCAUAAUUCACUAACCUUUCACUUCCAACUAACUCCCUGUAACUAACUUUCUAACCUUUAUAACUGACAUAACCAACUUGUAACAGAAUUUAAAAAAAGCUCUAACAGAAUUCACAAAAAACUAUAACAAAAUUUGAGAAGCAUAACAGAAUUUCAGGAACUAUAUAAACACUACAACUCACAUUUCAGAGGCUUCAACUCUCACUUUUUUAGAUUCUCACAAUUCAACACCUUCAAUCCUCAUUUCUUUCACAUUUUCGAUUUCCUCAAAUCACCCUCCACAAACCAAAUUUCAGAAACUCAUCAUCAAUCUUAAUUCAUCAUCAUCUUCUCCACUCAUUCAUCACCAAGCUUCCACAAACAAUCACUUCAAUCCUCAAAGAUCAACCACACUCAUUCAUCACCAAACUCUCACAACAAUUCUCGAUUCGCAAUUUGCAACGCACAGAAGAAGCAGAAUCACAUCACAGAGAAGAAGAAGAAGAAUAAGAGAAAGAGGAUAAGAAGAAAACUUCAAGUUGUAUUUGACGUCGGUGUGUGCUUCGGUGAGACUUCAAUCAUCUUCUUUCUUUUUGAAAUUUUGAGUUACCAUUGCGUAGUCCUUCACGAGGGGAAUCAAAUCCCCAAUGUGAGGUGGCUCGAUCCCCCUCUGAUGCUAUUUAAUUUCGAAUUUUCGCAUUAGGGUUCUUGAAGCUCUCUCUUCGAUUUGCAUAGUCCAUGAAAAAUCAAGGAAAUCCGUUGGUGGAUUCAGACUCAUUGUGUGAUUUCGGUUUGAAUUUUGGUGUUUGACUUGAUUUUGGAGAGCCUCUGCCACCGAGGACAGCCUCUGCCACCGAGGAAGAAACAGAACAGGACUGAGAUGAGAGAGGAUAAGAGAUACGCGUUAAUUCAUUUGUUCUGAGUUUUACUUAACUUUGUUUUACACGUGCAUUUUAUUCAUUUAAUGACUCAUUUUAUUUUAAUGCUUCAUUUACAUGCGCAUUCGUG